rnacentral:rRNA from 1 species
GGCACUGCCCGGUAGCUAAAUGCGGAAGAGAUAAGUGCUGAAAGCAUCUAAGCACGAAACUUGCCCCGAGAUGAGUUCUCCCUGAGACUAUAAGUCUCCUGAAGGAACGUUAAAGACGAUGACGUUGAUAGGCCGGGUGUGUAAGCGCAGCGAUGCGUUGAGCUAACCGGUACUAAUGAACCGUGAGGCUUAACCUUACAACGCCGAAG